AAACUUUCAACAACGGAUCUCUUGGUUCCGGCAUCGAUGAAGAACGCAGCAAAAUGCGAUAAGUAAUGUGAAUUGCAGAACUCAGUGAAUCAUCGAAUCUUUGAACGCACAUUGCGCCCGCCAGUAUUCUGGCGGGCAUGCCUGUCCGAGCGUCAUUU
rnacentral:rRNA from 2 species